UGGGGGAUAUUGCGCAAUGGGCGAAAGCCUGACGCAGCGACGCCGCGUGGGUGAUGAAGGCCUUCGGGUCGUAAAGCCCUGUCGAGGGGGACGAAACGGCUCCGACCUAACACGUCGGGGCUCUGACUGUACCCCUAAAGGAAGCACCGGCUAACUCCGUGCCAGCAGCCGCGGUAAUACGGAGGGUGCGAGCGUUGUUCGGAAUCACUGGGCGUAAAGCGCGUGUAGGCGGUCUGCUAAGUCUGAUGUGAAAGCCCGGGGCUCACCCCCGGAAGUGCAUUGGAAACUGACAGACUGGAGUCCCGGAGAGGAGGGUGGAAUUCCUGGUGUAGCGGUGAAAUGCGUAGAUAUCAGGAGGAACACCGGUGGCGAAGGCGGCAUCCUGGACCGGUAUUGACGCUGAGUGAGCGAAAGCCAGGGGAGCAAACGGGAUUAGAUACCCAAGUAGUCCCUGAGCGGGCUGGCAAGGCGCAU
rnacentral:rRNA from 1 species